rnacentral:rRNA from 1 species
UACGUAGGGUGCGAGCGUUGUCCGGAAUUAUUGGGCGUAAAGAGCUUGUAGGCGGUUUGUCGCGUCUGAUGUGAAAAUCCGGGGCUCAACCCCGGACUUGCAGUGGGUACGGGCAGACUAGAGUGUGGUAGGGGAGACUGGAAUUCCUGGUGUAGCGGUGGAAUGCGCAGAUAUCAGGAGGAACACCGAUGGCGAAGGCAGGUCUCUGGGCCACUACUGACGCUGAGAAGCGAAAGCAUGGGGAGCGAACAGG